rnacentral:rRNA from 1 species
UACGAAGGGGGCGAGCGUUGUUCGGAUUUACUGGGCGUAAAGGGCGCGCAGGCGGCUUUGUUUGUCAGGCGUGAAAGCCCCGGGCUUAACCUGGGAACUGCAUUCGAGACUGCAUAGCUAGAGUAUGGGAGAGGGAAGUGGAAUUUCAGGUGUAGCGGUGAAAUGCGUAGAUAUCUGAAGGAACAUCAGUGGCGAAAGCGACUUCCUGGACCAAUACUGACGCUCAUGUGCGAAAGCGUGGGGAGCAAACAGG